UACGUAGGGGGCGAGCGUUGUCCGGAUUUAUUGGGCGUAAAGAGCGUGUAGGCGGCCAGGUAGGUGGGUUGUGAAAACUGGAGGCUCAACCUUCAGACGUCGACCCAAACCCCCCUGGCUAGAGUCCGGAAGAGGAGAGUGGAAUUCCUGGUGUAGCGGUGAAAUGCGCAGAUAUCAGGAAGAACACCCGUGGCGAAGGCGGCUCUCUGGGACGGUACUGACGCUGAGACGCGAAAGCGUGGGGAGCGAACAGG
rnacentral:rRNA from 1 species